GACGAACGCUGGCGGCGUGCUUAACACAUGCAAGUCGAACGGAAAGGCCCUGCUUUUGUGGGGUGCUCGAGUGGCGAACGGGUGAGUAACACGUGAGUUACCUGCCACUGCCCUUGGGAUAACUUAAGGACACUGGGGCUAAUACCGGAUAGGAGUUCCUGCCGUUUGGUGGGGGUUGGAAAGUUUCGGCGGUUGGGGAUGGACUCGCGGCGUAUCAGCUUGUUGGUGGGGUAGUGGCAUACCAAGGCUUUGACGGGUAGCCGGCCUGAGAGGGUGACCGGCCACAUUGGGACUGAGAUACGGCCCAGACUCCUACGGGAGGCAGCAGUGGGGAAUAUUGCACAAUGGGCGGAAGCCUGAUGCAGCAACGCCGCGUGCGGGAUGACGGCCAUCGGGUUGUAAACCGCUUUCGCCUGUGACGAAGCGUGAGUGACGGUAAUGGGUAAAGAAGCACCGGCUAACUACGUG
rnacentral:rRNA from 1 species